CCCAACACGUAUUUGCCUCCGUACUUCUCGGCCAAAAUUCCACCUGGAAUCUGCGUCACCAUGUAGCCCCAGAAGAACGCACCCAAAAUCAGGCCUUGUGUUUCACCGUCCCAAUCAAACUCGCCAUUGCCCUGUUUAGUAAAAUACCUACAUCACUGUCACCAGAUUCAUCACUUUCGCACUGUUCGCUGUUAUUUCCGCUAGAGCCUCCGCUGCCGCUCCUGCCGAAGAACGUCGUAGUGUUUGGAGUUUUGACCAUGUCGACGAUAGCCACCGACAAGUUGAUACGCAUCAUGUACACAGCAGCCAAGCCAAGAAAUCCCAUCAAAGCAAAAACGUGUCGUGACCCGAAGAAUUCUGUGAAAAAUAUCGAGAAAGGUUUUCAAGUAUUUCGCACAUAUAUUUCCAUCUAUCCUUGAAAAGUGGUGGAGAUGGAAACGUCAUGACGUUUACAAACCAUCAGGACGUUCGGGUUCCUCAUUGUCUCCACGUUCAUUUCCAUGGAGAUGUUGCUCAGUGAUGUCGGUCUGUUGAACACCAGUCCAGACACAAAGGUUAGUGAAGAGGUUUACUUUUUUCACUUCGUGGAACUUACUUUAGCAGCACAUAAAUGGGAUCUCGACGCUUUCAGUUGCUGCCACGGACGCCUAGACGAGUCCAAACACUCAAAGCCACUGAAGAGUCUAGCAGUUGGCAGGCAAUUUGACUCGCCAGACAAUGGAUUUAAAGAUAUCGCUACCGAUAAAAUCAUCAUCUAUUUAAGCUUAUCUCAUUUUGUUUUUACUAUGACAAAGCUUGGGGAGGCGGUUAACUACGCUGCCUUUAAUGUAACAUCCUUGUUACUAUAUCUUCAACUGUUUUUUGCAAUUUCUUUAGUUUCAUGCUGAUAGGAAAGAAGUUUGCAACAAAUGAAGAAACACGAACGACGAAUAUUAAUUCGUAUAUUAGAAUCAUGAAUAUCAUUAACUAUAACGGAGGAACUUUUCCUAACAAUGUAAUCCUAGAGGAUUGCUCGAAGGUCAUGAGUAGACAUAUACGUUCACAAAUAGACUUUUACUGCCUCAGUGUAAGUCAGAUUGCAACUGAUAGACAAGAAAGGAUUGUCAUUUACAUGUACAAGAUUUAAAAAUGAAUUUAGUCUAAUGGUUUCAAUUUGAUCAUUCUCUAUCAGAGAGCUACGUUGGCAUUUUAUUACAAGUUGAAAUAAUAUUCAACUCAUUUCUUUUGCGAGGGUGCUGCUAGCAAGUGUGUAAGACUCUUUCAUUACACGUUUUGCAUCAAA